rnacentral:rRNA from 2 species
AACGGCGAGUGAAGAGGAAAGAGCUCAAAGUUGGAACCUGUUUGGCCUAGCUAAACCGGAUUGUAGACUGUAGAAGUGUUUUCCAGGCAAGCCGAGUAAAUAAGUCCUUUGGAACAGGGCAUCAUAGAGGGUGAGAAUCCCGUCUUUGGCUUGAGCAUUUGCCUUUUGUGAUACGCUUUCAAAGAGUCAGGUUGUUUGGGAAUGCAGCCUAAAUUGGGUGGUAAAUCUCACCUAAAGCUAAAUAUUGGCGAGAAACCGAUAGCGAACAAGUACCGUGAGGGAAAGAUGAAAAGAACUUUGAAAAGAGAGUUAAACAGUAUGUGAAAUUGUUAAAAGGGAACCGUUUGGAGCCAGACUGGCUUGUCUGUAAUCAAUCUAGGCUUCGGCCUGGAUGCACUUGCAGGCUAUGCCUGCCAACGACAAUUUGACUUGAGGGAAAAAACUAGGGGAAAUGUGGCCCACUUGUGGGUGUUAUAGUCCCUUAGAAAAUACCUUGGGUUGGAUUGAGGAACGCAGCGAAUGCUUAUUGGCGAGUUUUCCAGGAAGGUUUUCUGAGGUACUACGGUAUCAAGGUUGAUCUUUUUGGUUAUACUUCUAUUCGCUUAGGUUGUUGGCUUAAUGACUCUAAAUGACCCGUCUUGAAACACGGACCAAGGAGUCCACCAUUAGUGCGAGUAUUUGGGUGCCAAACCCAUAUGCGUAAGGAAACUGAUUGAUACGAAUCCAUUAAGGAGGCAGUAUCGUCCGGCGCUGACGUUUUAUACUGAAUUGACCGAGACAAGCACUAAUGAUGGGACCCGAAAGAUGGUGAACUAUGCCUGAAUAGGGUGAAGCCAGAGGAAACUCUGGUGGAGGCUCGUAGCGAUUCUGACGUGCAAAUCGAUCGUCAAAUUU